GACGAACGCUGGCGGCGUGCUUAACACAUGCAAGUCGAACGGUGAAGGUGGAGCUUGCUCCGCCGGAUCAGUGGCGAACGGGUGAGUAACACGUGGGCAACCUGCCCCAGACUUCGGGAUAACUCCUCGAAAGAGGCGCUAAUACCGGAUACGAACUCCUUGGGCAUCCUGGGAGUUGGAAAGGUUUUCGGUCUGGGAUGGGCCCGCGGCCUAUCAGCUUGUUGGUGAGGUAACGGCUCACCAAGGCGACGACGGGUAGCCGGCCUGAGAGGGCGACCGGCCACACUGGGACUGAGACACGGCCCAGACUCCUACGGGAGGCAGCAGUGGGGAAUAUUGCGCAAUGGGCGAAAGCCUGACGCAGCAACGCCGCGUGAGGGAUGACGGCCUUCGGGUUGUAAACCUCUUUCAGCAGGGAAGAAGCGAAAGUGACGGUACCUGCAGAAGAAGCACCGGCUAACUACGUGCCAGCCGCCGCAGUAA
rnacentral:rRNA from 1 species